rfam:Alishewanella agri BL06 contig026, whole genome shotgun sequence.
CGUAUGGUGUCUGGCGAUAAAAAUGCGACCAGAUAGCGAUGCGGCCUAACGAGGU